GCCGAGGUGGCGGAAUUGGCAGACGCGUAGGACUCAGGAUCCUAUGGGGGUUUCCCCGUGCGGGUUCAACUCCCGCCCUCGGCA
rnacentral:tRNA from 1 species